CUGCACUUCCCUUUGUCCCGCAGAUUUGUUUUUUUGCCUCCUGGUUGAGCUUUCUAGCGUGACACUAAUAAGUUCAUAGCAUCAUAUAUGCGGCUUAGCAGGGUGCAGGGGGCAUAUCCUAACAAAUGUGCGGAGUCAAUUGGUUUCCCAAGGGGACGCUACUGAGAAGCUGGCUCACCAAGUCCCGACCCAGACUGCUGCUGCUCAUCGCUGGCUUGAAGAGGCCUCAAGUCACCCUCAUGCGCAGAAAAAGGAUGAAGCGCACGAAAGUAGCAAAGGCCACGUAAGCGAACCUGUAGUCGUAUGCUGCAUUUCACUUGACUCACUGACACAGAGAGAAGCUCCAUCUGCCGUUGAUAUGAAUGCUGAUCCAGAAACAGAGAAAGCCUCUCAGUCAUCUCUGCCAAACAUACGAACUAAACAUCAAAGCAGAAGCGGCUCAGAGUUUGUUGUGAAAAUGAUGGAUCUACCACAAAGAUCCAGACCCCCUGACUAAGAUCCAGAGCCUCUCAGUGACAUUUGUUCAUCUUUCUCUUAAAUACACUUCUGUCAUGCUUCAGUUCACUACACAGCGUGUGACAGGACAUUAUUGCUAUUGCCUUUGGUUGACAGUGCUUUCCUUUCCUGUGUUCCUGUGUUCAGAGACAAUCCUCUGGUCAGGAUUUCAGGGACUUUUAUUUUUUGAUUCCUAAUGAUGCGUGUGGGUGAAAAAUAUGAAGAAAAUAAUGAAAAACAGAAAAAAAACUCAUAAUUGCCAUGAGUUAGUAACCAACAGCACACCAGUGUUUUUUUCAUACAUUUUUCAUAUAUAAAAUAUAUGAUAGUUAUAUCAUUCCAAAUGGACCAUUAUGUGGUCCCAUUAUAAUUUAACCAAAACAAUUAUCAUAGUCACAUUAUUAUUUUUAUUUAAAAAAAAUUAUUAAUUAAUUCAUUGAAGAAAAUCAAGCAGCUAUUUGACAACGUAUAACUAAUAGGUUAUUAUUGAACACGUCCACAAAAACUGCAUUAAUAAUUGUUAGGUGAAUCUCAUGAAGCAUGUCAAGUCUGGCACAAAAUCCAUGGUAGAAAUAAGAAAUUAUUUUUUGCAUUAAGAAAACUAUCAUAUUUUAGGACCAUUAGUAGUUUUGUUUACAUAUUUUACAACACAUUUUCCACCAAAAUAGUCAUUACUAAAAGGAUUUUCUUCCCCUCAAUAGUUAUUCUCAUUACAUUCUCAUUAUUAUCGUACACUAAUAAAAUUCUGCUUGUCUGGGCACAUUAUAUAAAAACAAAAGUUAUCAAGUAUAAAUACACUUUAUUUUGAAUCAUUUUAAUCGAAUUACAUUUUCUUUUUGCAAAAAUAUAAUUCAUAUAUUUUAUGAAUGGUUUUAUAAUUUUUUUUUUUUUUUUUUUUACAAAUUAUGUUAACUGGUUUCUUGUUUCAUCUGAAUUUGAGGUGAAAUAUUAUUCAAACAUGUCUUAACGAGAUUCGCCCACACAAUACGAUGACUCAAAACAUAUGCUUGCACAGUUUGAAACUUAUUUUCUCUUUUGAACAAUUCUGUCUUUUGUGUUCAUACUGUCCUCUAUCUCUAGCUACUAUGUCAAAGCAGAUACACAGAUUUGUUUGAAGAAUCACAUAAAUUUCAGAGCAUUUUAAGAUUUUUUUCAGUAAUUCUUUGAAUAAACAAGGUAACACUUUAUAUUAAGUCAUCCCAUUUGUCCUUUGUUACAUAUUUGUAGUAAUAACAUAUGAAGUAGUGAUCACACAAUUCUAAACCAAAAAUACAAACAUUUCUAAUAUAUAUUUAUAAAUAUACAAAUAUACAGACAAAGCAAACAACUGACAUCAGCUCUUUUAUAAUAUUUGUUUAAUUAAUUAUUCAUUAAAUUAUUAAAAACUAAGCACUUAAUAUAAAGUGAGACCAUCAUGUGGCAUUACGUAAAAACCUAAGCCCUGAGGAUGAUUUAUGGGAAUUUUUCUAUUGUAUAACACUAAUUACACACACACACACACACACACACACACACCGUCUUGCGUUGUCUUUAGUUGUCGUUUUUGCAGUGCUAGUUUGAAUCAGUUUUCAUGAUAUUUAAUCUAUUUUCUAGUUUCUCAUUUGCUUUUUUCAUUCGACUGAUUUCCUUUCAAGCAUUGAAUAUGAAACCCAUUAAGGAAGAUGCAAAGAAAUCCUGCGGGAUAAGAAAGUAAACAUGAGCAGGUUCGACUUACUGCACAAUUCACCCAUUCUGUGUCCUAACCAGAUGUGAAGCAACAAGUGUCUUCUGUUAUUCGAUCUGUCUGCACUCAAACAUGACACACUCACAUACAGUCAGAUGAUAUUUGACAUAUAAUAUUUAGUUAUAUGGGCCAAUGAGAGUAGCUUUAUCACAGCAGGUCUGGUUAGGACACCGUGCAAAAGGUUUAGCUUCAGAGGUUACGUGAUUUCAGAUGGGCGAGUGUUUGGGAUGUUAUUUUGCGGUGAGUUUCUGCUGGAUGAGCUUGUAUCUGUUGAGCUGCUGCUCAGAGACGGAUGACUGAAGGCCUGCCAGAGCCUGUCUGAAGUCUUCUGAACACAGAGUCAGAGCGCACGCCUCUGAAUCCACACUUGCAUCACAGACACAGAGAUGAAGAAAGAGUGAAGGCAAGUAGUGCAGACAUUGAGAAAGAAGCAGAGAGACUGACAGAGUCAGGCCAGAAACAUCCUCUACUCAACACACAUAAGAACGCUCGACCAACACAUUGCCACAGCACAGGUUUACAAUGAGGGGAAAUGACUGUGUAGCGUUACUUGUGUAGAGUUUGUUUUUAGGCUCAGAGUGAGUAGCUGGAAUAUGGACACAUGGGUUUCAUGCAUAAAAUGUACUGUUCUAUUCUUCUUGGUUUAAACAUGUCUCUAUCCUCUAAACUUUAAACAAUAAAUAUCUCAGGUGUAGA